rnacentral:rRNA from 1 species
GAUGAACGCUGGCGGCGUGCCUAAUACAUGCAAGUCGAGCGAACAGACGAGGAGCUUGCUCCUCUGACGUUAGCGGCGGACGGGUGAGUAACACGUGGAUAACCUACCUAUAAGACUGGGAUAACUUCGGGAAACCGGAGCUAAUACCGGAUAAUAUAUUGAACCGCAUGGUUCAAUAGUGAAAGACGGUUUUGCUGUCACUUAUAGAUGGAUCCGCGCCGCAUUAGCUAGUUGGUAAGGUAACGGCUUACCAAGGCAACGAUGCGUAGCCGACCUGAGAGGGUGAUCGGCCACACUGGAACUGAGACACGGUCCAGACUCCUACGGGAGGCAGCAGUAGGGAAUCUUCCGAAAUGGGCGAAAGCCUGGCGGAGCAACGACGCGUGAGUGAUGAAGGUCUUCGGAUCGUAAAACUCUGUUAUUAGGGAAGAACAAAUGUGUAAGUAACUAUGCACGUCUUGACGGUACCUAAUCAGAAAGCCACGGCUAACUACGUG